rnacentral:rRNA from 1 species
CAGAUCGUUUACCGUGAAAAAAUUAGAGUGUUCAAAGCAGGCAGAUCCAAUUUUCUGCCACCGAAUACAUUAGCAUGGGAUAAUGGAAUAGGACCCUGUCCUCCUAUUUUCAGUUGGUUUUGGCAGCGCGAGGACUAGGGUAAUGAUUAAUAGGGAUAGUUGGGGGCAUUAAUAUUUAAUUGUCAGAGGUGAAAUUCUUGGAUUUAUGAAAGAUUAACUUCUGCGAAAGCAUCUGCCAAGGAUGUUUUCAUUAAUCAAGAACGAAAGUUAGGGGAUCGAAGACGAUCAGAUACCGUCGUAGUCUUAACCAUAAACGAUGCCGACCAGCGAUUAGGAGACGUUGAAUACAAAACACCACCAUCGGUGCGGUCGUCCUUGGCGUCUCGGUCCUUCACGGGGCCGGGGCGCGGGGGUGGCUUAGCCCGGUGGCACCGGUGAAUGACUCCCCUAGCAGCUUGUGAGA